GAUGAACGCUGGCGGCGUGCUUAACACAUGCAAGUCGAGCGAGAAAAGUUCUUCGGAGCUUUUCUAGCGGCGGACGGGUGAGUAACACGUGGGCAACCUGCCUCAUAGAGGGGAAUAGCCUUCCGAAAGGAAGAUUAAUACCGCAUAACAUUGUUGAAAGGCAUCUUUUAACAAUCAAAGGAGCAAUCCGCUAUGAGAUGGGCCCGCGGUGCAUUAGCUAGUUGGUGAGGUAACGGCUCACCAAGGCGACGAUGCGUAGCCGACCUGAGAGGGUGAUCGGCCACAUUGGAACUGAGACACGGUCCAGACUCCUACGGGAGGCAGCAGUGGGGAAUAUUGCACAAUGGGGGAAACCCUGAUGCAGCAACGCCGCGUGAGUGAUGAAGGUCUUCGGAUUGUAAAGCUCUGUCUUUAGGGACGAUAAUGACGGUACCUAAGGAGGAAGCCACGGCUAACUACGUGCCAGCCGCCGCGGUAAGAC
rnacentral:rRNA from 1 species